rnacentral:rRNA from 1 species
GAGCGUUGUCCGGAAUCACUGGGCGUAAAGGGCGCGUAGGCGGCUUGCUAAGUAGGGGGUGAAAUCUCGCGGCUCAACCGCGGGGCUGCCUUCUAAACUGGCGGGCUCGAGCACAGUAGAGGCAGGUGGAAUUCCCGGUGUAGCGGUGGAAUGCGUAGAGAUCGGGAAGAACAUCGGUGGCGAAGGCGGCCUGCUGGGCUGUUGCUGACGCUGAGGCGCGACAGCGUGGGGAGCAAACAGGAUUAGAUACCCUGGUAGUCCACGCCGUAAACGAUGGGCACUAGGCGCCGGGGGGAGCGACCCCUUCGGUGCCGUCGCUAACGCAAUAAGUGCCCCGCCUGGGGGGUACGGCCGCAAGGCUG